UGGCUCUCGCAUCGAUGAAGAACGCAGCGAAUUGCGAUAAGUAAUGUGAAUUGCAGAAUUCAGUGAAUCAUCGAAUCUUUGAACGCACCUUGCGCCCCGUGGUAUUCCGCGGGGCACGCCUGUUUGAGUGUCACGUGAAACCUCACCCAGUAGAUGUCAAAGUCUCCUGCGGUGGACUUGGACCGUGCCGGGCAACCGGCUCGUCCUGAAAUGCAUUAGCCUGGUCGUCGAGACCGCAGUGGCCGUGGUGUGAUAAUCUAUCUGCGCCUGUAAGUGCCCUGCCCUCUCUUUUGACGGGCUCACAAUCGUCCUUCAUCGGACAACACCUGACAGUUUGGCCUCAAAUCAGGCGGGACUACCCGCUGA
rnacentral:misc_RNA from 1 species